GACGAACGCUGGCGGCGUGCCUAAUACAUGCAAGUCGAGCGAACAGACGAGGAGCUUGCUCCUUCGACGUUAGCGGCGGACGGGUGAGUAACACGUAGGUAACCUACCUAUAAGACUGGGAUAACUUCGGGAAACCGGAGCUAAUACCGGAUAAUAUUUCGAACCGCAUGGUUCGAUAGUGAAGGAUGGCUUUGCUAUCACUUAUAGAUGGACCUGCGCCGUAUUAGCUAGUUGGUAAGGUAACGGCUUACCAAGGCAACGAUACGUAGCCGACCUGAGAGGGUGAUCGGCCACACUGGAACUGAGACACGGUCCAGACUCCUACGGGAGGCAGCAGUAGGGAAUCUUCCGCAAUGGGCGAAAGCCUGACGGAGCAACGCCGCGUGAGUGAUGAAGGUCUUCGGAUCGUAAAACUCUGUUAUUAGGGAAGAACAAACGUGUAAGUAACUGUGCACGUCUUGACGGUACCUAAUCAGAAAGCCACGGCUAACUACGUG
rnacentral:rRNA from 1 species